rnacentral:rRNA from 1 species
CCUACGGGAGGCAGCAGUGGGGAAUUUUGGACAAUGGGCGAAAGCCUGAUCCAGCAAUGCCGCGUGAGUGAAGAAGGCCUUCGGGUUGUAAAGCUCUUUUGUCAGGGAAGAAACGGUGAGAGCUAAUAUCUCUUACUAAUGACGGUACCUGAAGAAUAAGCACCGGCUAACUACGUGCCAGCAGCCGCGGUAAUACGUAGGGUGCAAGCGUUAAUCGGAAUUACUGGGCGUAAAGCGUGCGCAGGCGGUUUUGUAAGUCUGUCGUGAAAUCCCCGGGCUCAACCUGGGAAUUGCGAUGGAGACUGCAAGGCUAGAAUCUGGCAGAGGGGGGUAGAAUUCCACGUGUAGCAGUGAAAUGCGUAGAGAUGUGGAGGAACACCGAUGGCGAAGGCAGCCCCCUGGGUCAAGAUUGACGCUCAUGCACGAAAGCGUGGGGAGCAAACAGGAUUAGAUACCCUGGUAGUCCACGCCCUAAACGAUGUCUACUAGUUGUCGGGUUUUAAUUAACUUGGUAACGCAGCUAACGCGUGAAGUAGACCGCCUGGGGAGUACGGUCGCAAGAUUAAAACUCA